CCUGAAGGGAGCCUACAAGAAAACUGGAGGGGGAGUUUUUACGCAAGCAUAUAGUGACGGGACAAGGGGAAAUGGCUUCAGACUGAAUGAGAUUAGGACCUCUUCAAACCCAAACUAUUCUAUGAUUCUAUGAAGUCCUAAACAAUUUUCUGUUUCAAUGAAUUACUGUAGAAAAGAGAGUGUGUCUUAAAAACAAGGCAACAAAGGGGAAUUCACCUUUGCUAGUCUUGUAAAUAGGGACCAUAGACCAUGACAUGAUAGCUCUCCUUUACUGAGGAAUCCCCAGAUGUGCAGGGCAUUUGUUUUUUAUUUCAGGUUUUCAUGUUUCACAUGAUGAACUUCUCUUCUGGAUCUAACCAUGGACAUGGAGUAUACAUCCAUUCACACUGGAUUCCUUGGAGGUAGGAAGAGCAAGCACGAUUUCCUGAAUUUCAGGAAACUUGGGUUGACCAAGGCAAUUUUGUAUAACUGUUGCAUCUGUUUAAUGACUAACUGUGGCUAUAGGGCAGCCUUAUGGAUCUUUUCAGUCCCAUCUUCUUAUCCGCAAUGAAAAAUUCAGAAUUUAUAUUUUACUGUGAAAUUAAAAUAUGUUUGCAGGCAAUACAGCUGAUACGUCAUACAAAUACAUUCAGAAUAACUGACAUUAUUCACAAAGCAAAUGAAUAUAAUCUGGAGUGUCAUCUGUAAAUAUGGUACUGGUUUGUAAUGUUUGUAAUUACUGCUUCUUUUCACUGAAGAGCUGAUUUAUGUAGGUCAGCACAAUAUAGGAAAAAAUUGUAGAUACAAAAGUUACAGUCAACUGAAUCUUGUUUUUAGAAGUACGAAUGAAUUCAAGCUGAAAAAUAUUUUUGCAAAUAUUCCUUAUUACAGAACUAUUGCAUUGUUUUCGGGAAGCAAACAGAAAAUGUCAUACCUCGAGUAAACCUAAGGGCAAUGUGUUAUUUCCCAAUCUGUAAAAAUAUGUAUGGUUUGAGAUGUCUUUUUGUUUCACACUGAAAAUAAAACAAAACUCUUUGGAACACUUUUAUGUAAUAAAAUUGCAUACAUCUC